rnacentral:rRNA from 1 species
CGGACGGGUGAGUAAUGCCUGGGAAAUUGCCCUGAUGUGGGGGAUAACCAUUGGAAACGAUGGCUAAUACCGCAUAANGUCUACGGACCAAAGAGGGGGACCUUCGGGCCUCUCGCUUCAGGAUAUGCCCAGGUGGGAUUAGCUAGUUGGUGAGGUAAUGGCUCACCAAGGCGACGAUCCCUAGCUGGUCUGAGAGGAUGAUCAGCCACACUGGAACUGAGACACGGUCCAGACUCCUACGGGAGGCAGCAGUGGGGAAUAUUGCACAAUGGGCGCAAGCCUGAUGCANCCAUGCCGCGUGUAUGAAGAAGGCCUUCGGGUUGUAAAGUACUUUCAGUCGUGAGGAANGCGUUGAAGUUAAUANCUUCNUCGNUUGACGNUAGCGACAGAAGAAGCACCGGCUAACUCCGUGCCAGCAGCCGCGGUAAUACGGAGGGUGCGAGCGUUAAUCGGAAUUACUGGGCGUAAAGCGCAUGCAGGUGGNUUGUUAAGUCANAUGUGAAAGCCCGGGGCUCAACCUCGGAACCGCAUUUGAAACUGGCAGGCUAGAGUACUGUANAGGGGG